rnacentral:rRNA from 1 species
GACGAACGCUGGCGGCGUGCUUAACACAUGCAAGUCGAGCGGUAAGGCCCUUUCGGGGGUACACGAGCGGCGAACGGGUGAGUAACACGUGGGUGACCUGCCCUCAGCUCUGGGAUAAGCCUGGGAAACCGGGUCUAAUACCGGAUAUGACUCCAUGACGCAUGUUGUGGGGUGGAAAGCCUUGUGCGGCUGAGGAUGGGCCCGCGGCCUAUCAGCUUGUUGGUGGGGUGAUGGCCUACCAAGGCGACGACGGGUAGCCGGCCUGAGAGGGCGACCGGCCACACUGGGACUGAGACACGGCCCAGACUCCUACGGGAGGCGAGC